rnacentral:rRNA from 1 species
AUACGUAGGUCCCGAACGUUGCGCGAAAUUACUGGGCGUAAAGGGUCCGUAGGCGGUCUGGUAAGUGGAAGGUGAAAGCCUGGGGCUCAACUCCAGAAUUGCCUUCCAAACUGCCGGACUUGAGGCAGGGAGAGGUCGGCGGAAUUCCCGGUGUAGUGGUGAAAUGCGUAGAUAUCGGGAGGAACACCAGUGGCGAAGGCGGCCGACUGGAACUGUCCUGACGCUGAGGGACGAAAGCCAGGGGAGCGAACCGGAUUAGAUACCCUAGUAGUCC